rnacentral:rRNA from 1 species
CCUACGGGGGGCAGCAGUGGGGAAUAUUGCACAAUGGGGGAAACCCUGAUGCAGCAACGCCGCGUGAGCGAAGAAGGCCUUCGGGUCGUAAAGCUCUGUCCUAAGGGAAGAAGCAUGACGGUACCUUAGGAGGAAGCCCCGGCUAACUACGUGCCAGCAGUCGCGGUAAUACGUAGGGGGCGAGCGUUAUCCGGAAUCACUGGGCGUAAAGGGUGCGUAGUCGGACAAUUAAGCCAGGGGCGAAAGGCUACGGCUCAACGGUAGUAAGGCUUUGGAACUGAAUGGCUUGAGUGCAGGAGAGGAGAGUGGAAUUCAUAGUGUAGCGGUGAAAUGCGUAGAUAUUAGGAGGAACACCAGUGGAGAAGGCGACUCUCUGGACUGUAACUGAAGCUGAGGCACGAAAGCGUGGGGAGCAAACAGGAUUAGAUACCCCGGUAGUC